CUGGCCCUGAAUUGAAUUAAGGCCGGCAGCUUCUUGAUGCUGUUGGUUUUAAGCAGGAGCCUAAAGAGAUGUCUUUCUAUGGUCUGUUGGCCAUUUCAGAACUUGGGCAGUGAAAUGGUCAAUACAUUAGAAAGAAACAGCU
ensembl:snoRNA